rnacentral:ribozyme from 1 species
AAAUACUAACAUGUUCGGUAAGAGGGUGGAUCCGACGUCUCAAACUGGCAUACCAAUCAUGUUUCAUGAUACAUGGCCUUUUUAAGACUAUUAUAGGCUCUCCUCCCUAACUCCUACUCAUUACGUCCACGGCGUACCGAAUGUCAACAUGUGCUCAAUGAACAUGGCUAAAAUGAGAGGG